rnacentral:rRNA from 1 species
GAAUGGCUGGGCUGCUGCCCACAGCCAUGGGCGCCUGUCCCGUACCUGGUUUUGAAAGUCCCUGGUUGCAGGGAGCCCGGUGGGUCCCAUCGCUCCCACAGGGAACAGCUCUAAAGGAGCUCCGCUAAAGCUCCAGGAUUUAUCAGACCAAGACCAAUCUGGGGCCGAUCGCACGUCCCCGGGACGUCGCUGAUGCAUUUGUAUGUAUCGGAUGUCUGCCCUAUCAACUUUCGACGGUACUUUCUGUGCCUACCAUGGUGACCAUGGAUAAUGGGUAAUCGGGGUUUGAUUCCGAGAGGGAGCCUGAGAAAUGGCUACCACAUCCAAGGAAGGCAGCAGGCGUACAAAUUACCCACUCCUGACUCUGGAAGGUAGGGACGAAAAAUAACAAUACAGGACUCUUUCGAGGCCCUGUAAUUGGAAUGAGUACACUUUAAAUCCUUUAAUGAGGACCAUUGAGGGCAAGUCUGGUGCCAGCAGCCGCUGUAAUUCCAGCUCCAAUAGCGUAUAUUAAAGUUGCUGCAGUUAAAAAGCUCGUAGUUGGAUCUUGGAUCGAGCUGGCGGUCUGCCGCGAGGCAAGCUACCACCUAUCCCAGGCCCUGCCUCUCGAGCCCCCUUGAUGCUCUUGACUAAGUGUCCGAAGUGUUUACUUUGAAAAAAUUAGAGUGUUCAAAGCAGGCCGGUCGCCUGAAUACUUCAGCUAGGAAUAAUGGAAUAGGACUCCGGUUCUAUUUUGUUGGUUUUUCGGAACUGGGGCCAUGAUUAAGAGGGACGGCCAGAGGCAUUCGUAUUGUGCUGCUACAGGUGAAAUUCUUGACCGGCGAUAGAUGAAAGCAAAGCGAAAGCAUUACCCAAGAAUGUUCUCAUUAAUUAAGAAUGAAAGUCUGAGGAUCGACGACUAUCCAAUACCAUUGUAGUUUCCACCAUAAACGAUGCCACUAGCAAUCUGGCGCCGUUAUUCCCAUGACCCGCCGAGCAGCUUCCGGGAAACCAAAGUCUUUGGGUUCCGGGUUGGGGGGGGGAGUAUGGUUGCAAAGCUGAAACUUAAAGGAAUUGACGGAAGGGCACCACCAGGAGUGGAGCCUGCGGCUUAAUUUGACUCAACACGGGAAACCUCACCCGGCCCGGACACGGAAACGAUAGACAGAUGGAUAGCGCUUCUCGAUUCUGUUGGUGGUGGUGCAUGGCCGUUAUUAGUUGGUGGAGUGAUUUGUCUGGUUAGUUCCGAUAAUGAGCCUGACUCCUCCAUGCUAACUAGCAAUAACAGGUCUGUGAUGCCCUUUGAUGUCCGGGGCUGUAUGCGCGCUACACUGAACGGAUCAGUGUGUCUCUACCCUUUGCCGACAGGUGUGGCUAGCCGCUGAACCCUGUUUGUGCUAGAGGUUGGGGAUUGCAAUUAUUUCCCACGAACGAGGAAUUCCCAGUAAGUGCGGGUCAUAAGCUUGCGUUAAAUCCCUGCCCUUUGUACGCAUCACCCAUCGCUACUACCAUUGGAUGGUUUAGUGAGGCCCUCGGAUCGGCUACGCUGGGGUCGGCAACGGCCUUGGCGGAGCGGUGAGAAGACGAUCGAAAAUAGAGGAUUUUCCCCAAAGAAGUCACAGAUGGAGUCUUGUAUUUCGUCGCAAAUUACUGCGUCUC